AACAGCUCGAGCUGACGCGGUUGAAACUAAUGCGACCCGUCUCUCUACCGAUCGGUCUUUCACCCCGCGGGACUCACUCUCGAGAGAUGGUUGGGGUUCAGUUCGGAAGGGUGGCGAAGGGAAUUUGAAGGUUUACUCACGGAGGGAAUAACCGUUCGAGGAGGAGUUUGGAGUGCUCGAUAUACCAAAAAGUCGACUUCCGCUUUUUCGAUCGAUCGACAUGGAGGCUGGCUGCCAUUGUUGACGUCUAUGUGUAUGUAUUUUUAAGUCUACGUUUGAGAAUAGUAAAAAGAAGAAGAAAAAAAAAAAAA